UCGCACUGCUGGCUCCGGCGGAGUCAAGAUGGCGGCCGCUGUGUCGGAGGGCGAUAAGAGACCCGGGAUAUUAUCGCCCAGUUCGGUUGGUGGCAGGUCUGAACUGACAGAUAAGAAG